rnacentral:tRNA from 1 species
GGCGGCGUAGCUCAGUUGGUCAGAGCACUCGGCUCAUAAUCGAGGUGUCGCCGGUUCGAUCCCGGCCGCCGCCA